rnacentral:rRNA from 1 species
GACGAACGCUGGCGGCGUGCUUAACACAUGCAAGUCGAACGGAAAGGCCCUGCUUUUGUGGGGUGCUCGAGUGGCGAACGGGUGAGUAACACGUGAGUAACCUGCCCUUGACUUUGGGAUAACUUCAGGAAACUGGGGCUAAUACCGGAUAGGAGCUCCUGCUGCAUGGUGGGGGUUGGAAAGUUUCGGCGGUUGGGGAUGGACUCGCGGCUUAUCAGCUUGUUGGUGGGGUAGUGGCUUACCAAGGCUUUGACGGGUAGCCGGCCUGAGAGGGUGACCGGCCACAUUGGGACUGAGAUACGGCCCAGAAUCCUACGGGAGGCAGCAGUGGGGAAUAUUGCACAAUGGGCGGAAGCCUGAUGCAGCAACGCCGCGUGCGGGAUGACGGCCUUCGGGUUGUAAACCGCUUUCGCCUGUGACGAAGCGUGAGUGACGGUAAUGGGUAAAGAAGCACCGGCUAACUAAGUG